UGCNAGUCGUACGAGANUAAACUCAAGUGGCGGACGGGUGAGUAACACGUAAGAAUUUGCCUUUAGGAGGGGGACAACAGCUGGAAACGGUUGCUAAUACCCCAUAUGCUUUCGAGUGAAAUGGAUUUUUCCGCCUGGAGAGAAGCUUGCGGCUGAUUAGCUUGUUGGUGAGGUAAUGGCUCACCAAGGCGACGAUCAGUAUCUGGUUUGAGAGGACGAUCAGACACACUGGAACUGAGACACGGUCCAGACUCCUACGGGAGGCAGCAGUAGGGAAUUUUCCGCAAUGGGCGAAAGCCUGACGGAGCAAUCUCGCGUGAGGGAUGACGGCCUAUGGGUUGUAAACCUCUUUUUUCAGGGAGGAAUAAAUGACGUGUACCCGAAGAAUAAGCAUCGGCUAACUCCGUGCCAGCAGCCGCGGUAAGACGGAGGAUGCAAGUGUUAUCCGGAAUCACUGGGCGUAAAGCGUCUGUAGGUGGUUUAAUAAGUCAACUGUUAAAUCUUAAAGCUUAACUUUGAAAUCGCAGUCGAAACUAUUAGACUAGAGUAUAGUAGGGGUAAAGGGAAUUUCCAGUGGAGCGGUGAAAUGCGUAGAGAUUGGAAAGAACACCGAUGGCGAAGGCACUUUACUGGGCUAUUACUAACACUCAGAGACGANNGCUAGGGUAGCNNAUGGGAUUAGAUACCCCAGUAGUCCUAGCUGUAAACAAUGGAUACUAGAUGUUGAACAGAUCGACCUGUGCAGUAUCAAAGCUAACGCGUUAAGUAUCCCGCCUGGGAAGUAUGCUCGCAAGANUGAAACUCAAAGGAAUUGANNGGGGCCCGCACAAGCGGNGGANCAUGU
rnacentral:rRNA from 1 species